rnacentral:misc_RNA from 1 species
UCCUCUGCAGCAAUGCGAUUUGACUCUUGUCUUUGUUGACCGAGUUUAAAGAAAGCUAGAGGAUGGUCAGUUUAGACUAGCCCGAGUGCUAAGCAUUCUUGGGUCUAGGCUGGAUUGCUCAUUUUAUCUAUUUUUUA